GGAAAAUUGGAACCGUCGUGACUGAGACACCACGGACUCAAAAUCAAAUAUUAUUUCAUAUACACACCUCAUGGCAUAAUAAUCGGUCAACGAUUUGGCCAACCGUUUUUCCCUAAUGCCCAUGCAAACAACUGCAGGCUGAAUGUGGACGAUGGCAAUUGAACAUAAAUAUAUGGCUGCAGCAAGAAGCACAACUAUGUCACACAGCCAUGCGUGCACACGAAAAAAAACUUAAUACUUAUAAGUUACUUAUAAGUUCUUGAUCUCAAAGUGUAAAAGCUAAUUUGAAUUGACUACAAGGUAACUUUCCUUACACUUGAAGAAAGAAUGCUCUAUUCAGUUUAAUGAACUUUUCAAGAAUAAAUACUAUUCCCUAA